CCUACGGGGUGCAGCAGUGGGGAAUAUUGGACAAUGGGGGAAACCCUGAUGCAGCGACGCCGCGUGAGUGAAGAAGUAAUUCGUUAUGUUAAGCCCUAUCAGCCAGGAAGAAAAUGCCGGUACCUGAGUACGAAGCACCGGCUAACUACGGGACAGAAGCCGCGGUAAUACGUAGGGAGCAAGCGUUAUCCGGAGUUACUGGGUGUAAAGGGGGCGUAGACGGCAGUGAAAGUCUGGAGUGAAAGGCGGGGGCCCAACCCCCGGACUGCUGUGGAAACUGUACGGCUUGAGUGAAGGAGAGGUAAGUGGAAUUCCUAGUGUAGCGGUGAAAUGCGUAGAUAUUAGGAGGAACACCAGUUGCGAAGGCGGCUUACUGGACUGUAACUGACGUUGAGGCUCGAAAGCGUGGGUAGCAAACAGGAUUAGAUACCCUUGUAGUC
rnacentral:rRNA from 1 species